UUCCGGUUGAUCCUGCCGGACCUGACUGCUAUCGGAUUGAUACUAAGCCAUGCGAGUCUUUGCAGUAAUGCAAGGCAUACGGCUCAGUAACACGUAGUCAACUUACCCUAUGGACGAGGAUAAUCUCGGGAAACUGAGCAUAAUACUCGAUAGAUCAUAAUGCCUGGAAUGGUUUAUGGUUAAAAUGAUUCGUCGCCAUAGGAUGGGACUGCGGCCUAUCAGCUUGUUGGUGAGGUAAUGGCCCACCAAGGCGAUUACAGGUACGGGCUCUGAGAGGAGAAGCCCGGAGAUGGGUACUGAGACAAGGACCCAGGCCCUAUGGGGCGCAGCAGGCGAGAAAACUUUGCAAUGUGCGAAAGCACGACAAGGUUAAUCCGAGUGAUUUCUGCUAAAGAAAUCUUUUGCAAGUCAUAAAACCACUAGUGAAUAAGGGGUGGGCAAGUUCUGGUGUCAGCCGCCGCGGUAAAACCAGCACCUCAAGUGGUCAGGAGGAUUAUUGGGCCUAAAGCAUCCGUAGCCGGCUCUGUAAGUUUUCGGUUAAAUCCAUGUGCUCAACGCAUGGGCUGCCGAAAAUACUGCAUAGCUAGGGAGUGGGAGAGGUAGACGGUACUCGGUAGGAAGGGGUAAAAUCCUUUGAUCUAUCGAUGACCACCUGUGGCGAAGGCGGUCUACCAGAACACGUUCGACGGUGAGGGAUGAAAGCUGGGGGAGCAAACCGGAUUAGAUACCCGGGUAGUCCCAGCUGUAAACGAUGCAGACUCGAUGAUGCAUUGGCAUAUAGCCAGUGCAGUGUCGCAGGAAGCCGUUAAGUCUGCCGCCUGGGAAGUACGUACGCAAGUAUGAAACUUAAAGGAAUUGGCGGGGGAGCACCACAAGGGGUGAAGCCUGCGGUUCAAUUGGAGUCAACGCCGGG
rnacentral:rRNA from 1 species